GACGAACGCUGGCGGCGUGCUUAACACAUGCAAGUCGAACGGAAAGGCCCUGCUUUUGUGGGGUGCUCGAGUGGCGAACGGGUGAGUAACACGUGAGUAACCUGCCCUUGACUUUGGGAUAACUUCAGGAAACUGGGGCUAAUACCGGAUAGGAGCUCCUGCUGCAGGGGGGGGGUUGGAAAGUUUCGGCGGUUGGGGAUGGACUCGCGGCUUAUCAGCUUGUUGGUGGGGUAGUGGCUUACCAAGGCUUUGACGGGUAGCCGGCCUGAGAGGGUGACCGGCCACAUUGGGCCUGCGAUACGGCCCAGACUCCUACGGGGGGCAGCAGUGGGGAAUCUUGCACAAUGGGCGGAAGCCUGAUGCAGCAACGCCGCGUGCGGGAUGCCGGCCUUCGGGUUGUAAACCGCUUUCGCCUGUGACGAAGCGUGAGUGACGGUAAUGGGUAAAGAAGCACCGGCUAACUACGUG
rnacentral:rRNA from 1 species